CAGUCGCCACGGGAAUACGUAGGUGGCAAGCGUUGUCCGGAAUUAUUGGGCGUAAAGGGCUCGCAGGCGGUUUCUUAAGUCUGAUGUGAAAGCCCCCGGCUCAACCGGGGAGGGUCAUUGGAAACUGGGAAACUUGAGUGCAGAAGAGGAGAGUGGAAUUCCACGUGUAGCGGUGAAAUGCGUAGAGAUGUGGAGGAACACCAGUGGCGAAGGCGACCCUCUGGUCUGUAACUGACGCUGAGGAGCGAAAGCGUGGGGAGCGAACAGGAUUAGAUACCCCUGUAGUCCCUGUCUCUUAUAC
rnacentral:rRNA from 1 species